rnacentral:rRNA from 1 species
UACGGAGGAUGCAAGCGUUAUCCGGAUUUAUUAGGUUUAAAGGGUGCGUAGGCGGGAUCUUAAGUCAGUGGUGAAAGUUUUUAGCUUAACUAGAAAACUGCCAUUGAUACUGGGAUUCUUGAGUUGGGAUGAGGUAUGCGGAAUGUGUAAUGUAGCGGUGAAAUGCUUAGAUAUUACACAGAACACCGAUUGCGAAGGCAGCAUACUAAUCCUAUACUGACGCUAAUGCACGAAAGCGUGGGUAGCGAACAGG